GAGAAAAAAAAAGUAGACAAGUUUACACGUGGGCGAGGAAGAAAGCGAACAACGACGAGGAGGAGACUGCUGCGAACCCAAGUAAUUGAUAUUGGAGUUACAUAAAUACGUCCUUGGACUCUCGUUGUCAUUGACGAAGUAGAUGGCAUCGAUUAUUGGCUAGGCACGUUCCAAAGUGAAAACGGAUUUCGAAGUGGUUGUAAUAAAGUAUCCUAAGCUA
rnacentral:lncRNA from 1 species